AAACCACAAAUCUCAAUACCCUAUCCGGUAUGAAGGUGAAACGGGCCGUCCCCAUACCCCGUCCGAUAUGGGUGCCAAAAUGCAUAAGGUCUCCAUACCCCAUUCGAUAUGAGAGACUACAUUCCCGGUAGGGUUCCCUAUGGAUCUGGUCCGUCCACCAUCUCCCAAGAUAUCUAGUGAGGCUGUAGACAUUAUUCAUUAUCAAUUCACAUACUUUUUUACCAUUUUUC
rnacentral:lncRNA from 1 species